GGCGGUUCUCUGGUGAUGCACCCUAGAAUUGGGCUCCCUCAUCUCUGGUUCCAGGUGCAUCACCCAAGAACCACA
rfam:Myotis lucifugus cont2.44262, whole genome shotgun sequence.